rnacentral:rRNA from 1 species
UGUGUAGGCGGUUGUUUAAGUUUGGUGUGAAAUCUCCCGGCUCAACCGGGAGGGUGCGCCGAAUACUGAGCGACUUCGAGUGCGGGAGAGGAAAGUGGAAUUCCUGGUGUAGCGGUGAAAUGCGUAGAUAUCAGGAGGAACACCGGUGGUGUAGACGGCUUUCUGGACCGUAACUGACGCUGAAACACGAAAGCGUGGGUAGCAAACAGGAUUAGAUACCCUGGUAGUCCACGCCCUAAACGAUGCACAUUUGGUGUGGGUCAUUCAGUUGAUCCGUGCCGGAGCUAACGCGUUAAAUGUGCCGCCUGGGGAGUACAGUCGCAAGGCUGAA